UACAGAGGGUGCAAGCGUUACUCGGAAUUACUGGGCGUAAAGCGCGCGUAGGUGGUUUGUUAAGUUGGAUGUGAAAGCCCCGGGCUCAACCUGGGAACUGCAUCCAAAACUGGCAAGCUAGAGUACGGCAGAGGGGGGUGGAAUUCCACAUGUAGCAGUGAAAUGCGUAGAGAUGUGGAGGAACACCGAUGGCGAAGGCAGCCCCCUGGACAAAGACUGACGCUCAGGUGCGAAAGCGUGGGGAGCAAACAGG
rnacentral:misc_RNA from 1 species